rnacentral:lncRNA from 1 species
GGACGUCCUUGAGGACUAUAUAUAUUAGGAAUGUUUAUGGUGUAGUCUGUUGGAUCAGGCCUGAUGGCACUGAACCAAGGCCUUGGCCGGUUCAGGAAUGGUGCCCAUGGCCUUUGCCGGGCUGUUCAUGAUCAGGAUCUAUAUGGCCUGGGUCGAUUCUUUGGAAUCUGAUUAUGGGAAUCUCUUAGUUAUGAAUUAUCAUGAGUUUUCAUGUAUUUUAAUCAAUUUUUAGGAAUUGAUUUGAUGAUGUCCAGUUUUGGCCGGUUUGGCUGAUUUUGGAUCGAG